rnacentral:lncRNA from 1 species
GGGGACCCAGGAGAGAGGCCGGCGCAAGUUGGGUGACAGCUCUGGGGGUCCGGAGGCGGCCCAGGGCUCCAGGACCCGCUUCCGCUCCAGGGCCCCGCCCGGAUGACUCCUGAACAGGCCACGAGGGUGGGGAGGGACCCACAGCCUCCGCCCCGCGGGGAGGCGGCGGCCGGCAGGAGUGAGGUGGCCAAAAGGGACGCUUGUGGGGGGACGUGGCGGGGAGGGGGGUGGGUGCCCGAGGUGGGAGAGUGUGUGGGAUUGGCGCAGCGGGAUCCGCACCUCUGCCCCGCGGCUUUACAAAGCCCACACAGCAGCCCCGCAGCCAGGCCGACCGAAAGCCACCGCCUGAGCCUCCAGUGUUCCCAGGUAGCCUCUGCACACCGCGGGGCGGGAUCGCGCGGCAGCAAAAACCAUAUAUGCAUAAUCGUGACACAGAACACUCAUUCCAUGGAUUCCAG